AUCCGACAGCCCUGCCCCUACAAACAGCAGGCUGGGAUGGGCAGAGCCACUGGGGUGUUCGGGGUGCAGGCACUGAGGUGUUUGUGGUCCAGGCAUGGGGAGCCUUAGUUGAGAGAACAAACAAGUUUUUAGUGAGCAUUUAAGUCAGGGAUCUCACCACGAGCAGCUGUUGCUGCCUUGCCUUGGAGGAGAGACUAUUGCAGCUGACUCUGGAGCCAGGAGAAGCUGCAGAGAUGUCAGGGAGGAAACUGGCCAAGGAGGAUGUGGCAAGUAGUAACAAAAGAGGAGAAAGUAUUUUCUCCCUGGGACCUGGAUGAGAUCAGGGAGAUAAAAAUUGGGCUCAGAAUAGUUAUGAGGAAAGAGGAAGGAGUGGGAGCUAAGACAGCCUUGAGUACUAUCAGCAGGAUAGUGAACGCAAAUGAAUGGGAGGGACACUGCAGCAGGUGAGGAAAUUCUCAUUAAGAACAGCUUAAUGAGACAAUAAAAGCCUCUGGGAAGCCUUACAGUUCCCACGCCUCUCCUCUGGUGAGACUUUCCUGAUUUUGCAGGACAGAGCUGCCCACGCACAGUAAAGCAGAGAGAACCAAACAAGAGGCACCACUGCUGGCUUUGUGUUUGUCCAAACCCUCACCCUGAUAUCCAGCUCGAGCCGUCUGUCUGUGAAGGACCUGUCACGCUCCAGAAACAACUCCAAACAAACAAACAAAAGCCAACCUGAUUGAGCAGUGAUGGAUGGAGCUCAAGAGCUGGGGUGACAGCAGCAUUUAUCUUCUCUCAGGUGAUGGAUGCAGGCUGUCAUCCAGCCCAGUGCAGGAUGAGCAGUGUCCUUCACCUUGGCUGGACUAGGUGUGGUGUGGGGGAGUUUUUUUUUUGCACAUCUCUGCUUGCCAGGGUCGCGUCUGGAUUAAGAACAACAAACCUCUGUGAGCCAGUGUGUUCACACCCAGCAAAUUUUCAGAAUUCCUUAGAUGGCUGCUAAUUGAAUCAUUAUAAAUGAAACAAAAUCCAUGUGCUCAUCUUGGAGCAAGUGUUUGUUGAACUCUCAGCGUUUGAAUAGAGUAUUGUCAAAUUAACAAAUCCCUCUCCCCUGGGAGCUGAAAUUUAAACUGAUGCUCCUCUGAUCAGGAAGACAGAGGUGGGAAAGAAAUUGAUCUUUUUUUCUCCUAGAAAACAAAGGCAGUAGCCUUAUUAAAAAAAGGAUCAGAAGACAGGAUCACUUGGUUCCUGGUCCUGUGGUUUGCUUAAGCAAUGUCAGGAAUUUGGGGCAGCACAAAUCAAACAGUCAGCAAAUUCUGAGUGCCCUAGGGUAUUGAAAAAUGCUUCUGGGGAAGGCUGCUAAUUGCAUUCUGGGUCAGUACUUCACCAUGUGUUGUUUCUGGUUGUUCUGCAUUAAACUGCUGUGCCACACCAGCCUGUAGUGGGGUCCAGCCAGGGAGACUGAUGCUAAGAGAAAUCUCUGCUGCUCUGUGAAGAGGCCAACAAAAAGCUCACCCCCCUUCCUUUUUGUCCUGAAAACCCUGAAACACAAAAAGAACCUGCUUGGGUCAGUGAUCCUGAAUGGACUGUGUGGAGGCACCAGCCUGGAAGCAGAAAAACAUGGACUGGGAAUGAUGGGGGUAGCAAGGGACAGGACUAUUCCCUUACACCUCAGUGUAAUUUGGGAGAGGAUGUAGGAAAGGCAUAGGAUCACUGCAGCAUCUAAGAGGCUUGAUGGCCUCACUGCUCACAUAUUUCUAACAGAUGUCCUGGCUUUGUGGGCCUGCAAGUGGAGUGCUCAACAUCUGCUCCACAGCUCCACGUUAAAUGGCUUCUUCUUCCCCAGCUCCAACUCUGCUGAAAAAAAACAAUCAGAAAAAGAAACUACCAAGUCUUGGAAUGCAUGAAGCAAGAAACAAAUGUGAAAUCUGGAGACACAUUGGCCUGUGAAUAUUUAAAGUGGAAAACACAGCUUGUAGUGGCAGAAACACAGUUUCAGACUAUGAAUUUAAUAUUGUCCCUUUGCAGUCGUGUUUGGUGAGCUUGCCUGUGGCUUUUCCUCCUCUUUUAUGUUAAGGCCAGCGUGGGCAGAAAUAUCUGCUGGCAUGAUCAGCCUCGCUCCAAUGCACCCUGCAGUCCAGGAAUAAGCAAAUUUAAUUGCUUUUUGUGAGAAAAGCUGCAGUGGAAAGUACCUUUGUAGCUUUACGCUCAAUGCUAAAAUUCUGAUCCACAAAACGCUGCUCAACUUGGGCGUACUGAGAAAUGUAAUUUAAAACAGGUUCUAACUGCGCAGUCUGGGGAAAAAACAUGGUGUUUGGGUUUUGUAUUUAAAGGAGGGAUGUGUGUCUGUGUGGGAUGACUGUAACUUCCUCAAAGCAGUUUGUCAUGUGUAUCUUGGGAUAAA